rnacentral:rRNA from 1 species
CCCUUAGAUGUUCUGGGCUGCACGCGCGCUACACUGAAGCGUUCAACGAGUAUUCACCUUGCCCGGGAGGGUUGGGUAAUCUUUUGAAAACGCUUCGUGAUGGGGAUAGAUUAUUGCAAUUAUUAAUCUUCAACGAGGAAUUCCUAGUAAGCGCGAGUCAUCAGCUCGCGUUGAUUACGUCCCUGCCCUUUGUACACACCGCCCGUCGCUCCUACCGAUUGAAUGGUCCGGUGAAAUGUUCGGACCGCGACAAGGCGGACGGUUCGCUGUCAGCUUUGCUGCGGGAAGUUCAUUAAACCUUAUCAUUUAGAGGAAGGAGAAGUCGUANCA